rnacentral:rRNA from 1 species
GAUGAACGCUGGCGGCGUGCCUAAUACAUGCAAGUCGAGCGAACGGAUGAGAAGCUUGCUCCUUUGAUGUUAGCGGCGGACGGGUGAGUAACACGUGGAUAACCUACCUAUAAGACUGGGAUAACUCCGGGAAACCGUAGCUAAUACCGGAUAACAUUUUGAACCGCAUGGUUCUAAAGUGAAAGAUGGUUUUGCUGUCACUUAUAGAUGGAUCCGCGCUGUAUUAGCUAGUUGGUAAGGUAACGGCUUACCAAGGCAACGAUGCAUAGCCGACCUGAGAGGGGAAUCGCCAACCAUGGAACUAGAACCGGGACCAGACCCCGACGGAGGGAGGAUGUGGGAAAUCUACCCAAGGGGGGGAAAGCUGAACGAAGCAACCCCCGUGAGGGAAGGAGGGUCUUCGGUAGGAAAAACUCGGUAUUUGGGGAAAACCAAGGGGGAAGGUAACUGGGCACCUCUUAACGUAACCAAAUCGAAAGCCACCGGCUAACAAGGU